AGAAUUUUACUUCUGGGUAAACAAGAUAAGUAGUACGCUAUUUCAUAUUGAUGAUGCCUAGUUUUAUACCCUUUACAGAGAUACAAUAUCAGUUAAUCAGGGAAAGAAUUGCUGCUUCAGAAUCAUCUUUUCAAGACAAACGAUUUAACACUGUCAUCACAAAAAGGGUUUGGAUUAUGACAAUGGUAUGAGUGAUAGAAUGGAAUGACAUCAUAAAUAAGGAGUACCCAAGAAGAGACACAGCUGUGUUGUCUUCUUCAGAUCACCUCCAUAUAUCCCUGUUUUGUGCCAACAAGACAUGCAGGAGGCAGAGAUGGCAAGGAGGCAACAGGAGAAGGAAACAAAGGAGAGACAGAAAGAGAUAGAGAAUUUCAGGGUACAAGAGGAUAAGACAAAGGCAGAAAAAUAUGAAAGAAAAACAGGACAGAAGACAUGGGGGAACACAGAUAUGGAGAGUGUGCAACAGGACAAAGAGAGGGUCCAGAGAAAGUUGGAGCCUGCUGUCCCUGUGCUAAAAGCAAGGGUCAUUGAGUGCAAGCCCAGGCCGAAACCAGACCUGAUACCUGAGUAUGGACUCGAGCCCAAGGCUGACCCAGCACCCAGGCCCUGGGCUGGGAAGGCAGACAUGGAGCUGCUGGACAUUGAGGAUGAGGAGUGUGAGGAUGAAGAGUUGGCUCUCAUGGGCAACAAAAAGAUUAUGCGUUCCUCAGAUCUGGAAGAAGCCCAGUAUGAGCUUCAAAAGGAGGCUAAGGAGGCCAGGCGUAGAGGCCAGGCCGAAGCCAUCAAGAAAUGUUACAGACACAACGGCUCUAGUAAUAUUAGUAAAGUAGACAGCGCACCACCUAUGAAUGUUGCCAAUAGUAAGACGAAUGGAGAUAUGGAGGGAGGAACCUGUUCCUCAAACAGUAAUCAGGCAGACGAGAGAACUACCAAAGUGGACAGUGUGACUGGGAAAGUGAUUGGCUGGGUGAACAGAAAAGUCAAAGAGAGAAAUGAGAGAAAGAUUGCAAGAACAUACUGGAGGGAGGAGACUCAAAGUGAUCAGUUGUACAUAAACGGUGUAGUGGUUUGCAGCCGUGCCCAGCGGGAGAGAGAAAAGAGGGCAAAACUCCUCAAAGGUGAGCAAACCAGACGGAGGCUGGAAAGACGCUGGCAAGAGUGGGAGAAGAGGUACAGGAGAAAGAACACGCUGAAGAGGGUACAGAGAAAUGGGCUCUGGUACAGGGAGUUGGAGGACAAGAACAGCAGCCAGGGUAGUCAUGAGGAAAACUCACUGCCUGAUGGAGCAGAGGAGGCUGACGGUGAUGAAGAGGUGGAAUACCUUUUAAUGUAUGGGCCCUGCGACUGUGAACUCUGCAGGGAAGGAUACACAUGUCUCUGGUACAGUUAUGACAAGGAGGAGACAGACCCCAAGGAGGCUAGGAGCAAGAGGAGGAGGAUAAUCAAUUGGAUCAAUACAAGAGUCAAAGAAGAUUAUCGCAAGAGAAUCAACACAACCUUUAACAUCCAGAGUUUAGUAUGCAAUGAUUAUGCCAUUUACGGAAACGCCAUCCUUCGCCAAUGGGACCUACAGAAGAUCAUACGGCGGGAACUCGUAAAAAAGGAGGAAAGAAGACAAAGGCUGGAGAAGCGCUGGAAGGAGUGGGAGAAAGCGAGGGCUCAGAAGAUAAAAACAAUUCUUCAGGAGAAGAAGGCAAAGGAACAGGUCAGGCUCAAUAGGCUGAUAGACCUGAAUCUAGAGGCAGACCAGAAGAUCAAGGAGUUCAUUGCUGCCAAUCCAGGAAUCCAGUCCCAGUACCCUGGAGGUCAUACCAGGAUGGAGAUGAUGGGACGUUGGGACAUGGGCUACCAGAGGGAGGAGACUCAGGGCCAGGAGGGCAGAGUAGGGCCUGCUACUGUACAAAAGUCCACUGCACCUCUGCGGACCAAGAAAAUAACCAAAUGGCAGAAGUUGCAAAAAUGGUUUUACACGAUCCAACUGUGAAAAGUCCAGCCCCAGAAUGAUCAUAUGAAAGUUAUUUCCUAAUAAAUAUUUUGGAAGUAAAAUGAAAAUUCAAACGGAAUCAAUUAUAUACGGAUCCUAUCAGAUACUAUUCCCUCAUAAUAUGGUACAUUGUUAUUUCAAAACCAGACACUUACAAACAAAGACGUAGUUCAUUUUGUUGCAUAUAUUUCAAAAUGUAAUUUAAUGAAACAAAAUGAAAAGAAUGUUAAUAGAUUUUUUUUUGAAUGAAUACUGGUAACCAAAGCAGGCAAUCUGAGAAGUGUCCAAAAUGGCCAUCCCAAGGCAUAUCGGUGAACAAUAUUUUCAGAAUUAUGAGAAAAAAGGUCCAAAAUACUAAAUACAAAGUUGCUAAUUUUAAAAGAAUUGCAAAAUGAUUCCGUCAAGGGCAAUAGAGUAUUCUUCCUAACAAAUUCAUAAA
ensembl:lncRNA